rnacentral:rRNA from 1 species
UACGUAGGGGGCGAGCGUUGUCCGGAAUCAUUGGGCGUAAAGAGCGCGUAGGCGGCCCUGUAAGUCCGCUGUGAAAGUCAAGGGCUCAACCCUUGGAUGCCGGUGGAUACUGCAGGGCUAGAGUCCGGAAGAGGCGAGUGGAAUUCCUGGUGUAGCGGUGAAAUGCGCAGAUAAUCAGGAGGAACACCGAUGGCGAAGGCAGCUCGCUGGGACGGUACUGACGCUGAGGCGCGAAAGCGUGGGGAGCAAACAGG